rnacentral:rRNA from 1 species
UACGUAGGGUGCAGGCGUUAAUCGGAAUUACUGGGCGUAAAGCGUGCGCAGGCGGCUCCUUAAGUCAGAUGUGAAAUCCCCGGGCUUAACCUGGGAACUGCGUUUGAAACUGGGGAGCUAGAGUGUAGAAGAGGGGGGUGGAAUUCCAGGUGUAGCAGUGAAAUGCGUAGAGAUCUGGAGGAACACCGAUGGCGAAGGCAGCCCCCUGGGCUAACACUGACGCUCAUGCACGAAAGCGUGGGGAGCAAACAGG